GCGUCAGUAAUGUAACGGAUACAGCACGCAUUCCCGAAAUGAGUGAGGUGCGGGUUCUAAUCCCGCCUGACGCG